ensembl:lncRNA
GGAUUAAGGAGUCACGUGACCGGUAAAGGAGGCCGUGUAGAAGACCUUUGGUCAAUGGAAUAAAACGGAAAAAUGUAUCAACCGAACCAAAGCGUGGAAGUCUGUUUUCUCUACACCUGCUGAACGCCAGGUACCACAUACCUUCAUUAAAAUCAGACAAGAAACAGGAGAGGUGACAAAAAGGUGACAUGUGGCCUGAGUUCCUCCUGUGUGAAGGAAAAACAUCACAUUCAACCACAUCCCUGCAUCAAGAAGAGUGUGUUCUGUCUGUUUUCAUUCGGACACGCAACAUAUGAGGAUAACAGAAACCAAUCUAGACUGGAUUGAAGA